rnacentral:sRNA from 1 species
GCAGCGGCAAAAUCCGCUGUCGGGAUUAGCGUCUCGGAAUUCAUUGAAACGCACGGCCGUAGAUUCGGCUAUUAU